rnacentral:rRNA from 1 species
GUGGGGAAUAUUGGACAAUGGGGGGAACCCUGAUCCAGCCAUGCCGCGUGUGUGAAGAAGGCCUUUUGGUUGUAAAGCACUUUAAGCGAGGAGGAGGCUACCGAGAUUAAUACUCUUGGAUAGUGGACGUUACUCGCAGAAUAAGCACCGGCUAACUCUGUGCCAGCAGCCGCGGUAAUACAGAGGGUGCAAGCGUUAAUCGGAUUUACUGGGCGUAAAGCGCGCGUAGGUGGCCAAUUAAGUCAAAUGUGAAAUCCCCGAGCUUAACUUGGGAAUUGCAUUAGUUACUAGUUGGCUAGAGUAUGGGAGAAGAUGGUAGAAUUCCAGGUGUAGCGGUGAAAUGCGUAGAGAUCUGGAGGAAUACCGAUGGCGAAGGCAGCCAUCUGGCCUAAUACUGACACUGAGGUGCGAAAGCAUGGGGAGCAAACAGGAUUAGAUACCCCAGUAGUCC